GGCCCCGUGGGGUAGGGGAUAUCCUGUUGGACUUCGGAACCAACAACUCGGGUUCGAUUCCCGGCGGGGCCG
rnacentral:tRNA from 1 species